rnacentral:lncRNA from 1 species
AUUAAAUGAGGGGAGAGAAAAUCCGAACGUUGGAAAAAUUCUAGAAUGCAACGGGUAUAUUAGUGACGUGGCGUAACAAACCAAUCAAAUUAAUCCUUUUAAGAAUAUAUGUCCCGUCAUGAUUGUAAAAAAGUAUUUUUAUUGUACUUUUGUUUGAAAAGAAGGAAUGUGAUUGGCUUGUUAUUGAUGACGUGGUACAAGUGUGACAGUGUAGAAUUCCUCCGAACGUUGGGGGGAGAGGGGCAGAAUGGGAAGACAGGCUGGAAAUUUUGAAAUCUGACGUGGAAAGUGUUGGCGGGGAGUGGGGAAAUGACAGCUGUGAUGGGGACCACCUCGGGUCGUGUUAGGUUUACGGAGGCGCGCGCGUAGGCGCCAGCUCGUUAAUGCAAUUUAUUGCCCGCACGCUGUGCGCCACGUCAUCCGUGCACCAGAGAGGCAACUACGUCGCUGGUCUCCUAAACUUUACCAAAAUUUUUUUUUUUAUAGAAAAAACUUCAAAAAACUCCCAGUAGUUUCGUAGAUUCUCACUUUGCCCCUCUGUGAUUUAAAAUAUAUCAAAUUGCCUUCCUGUGGUUUCAUUUUUAUUUUUUCGGUAGCUUUUUCGUUAAUAUUUCAUUAAAUUAUAUAUAAAAAGCUUCAGAUACCCAUCUAGAUUUAUCAAAUAUUCACUUUAGUACGCUUUAAUUUUAACUUUAUCACUGAUUUAAAAAAAAAUAAUGAAAUUGAUAAGAAAAAGAAAAAAAGGAAACCAUAGGGGAUAAAUUGAUACAUUUUAAACCACAGGGGGGCAAAGUGCGAAUCUACGAAAUCAUAGGAGGGUUUUUGAAGUUUUUCCUUUUUUUAUAUCUAGAUUCCUUAUUUUUUAUUUUAAAUUUUAAUUACUAUUUUUGUUACCAAAAUAUUAUUAAUUCUAAUGACGUUAUAAUUAUUUUAGCACUAAGUAAUAUACACAAAGUUAAUAUCACAUCGAUGUCAAAUCUUAACUAAGUUUGGUAUUUAUCAGAAUUAUGUAUUUAGUUUGAUUAAAAAUAUUAAUAGCAUUUUUAUAGCAUAAGAUUUUAUUUAAAUAAAUAAUACAAAAUAGAAAUCUAAAUGUAAUGUUUUAUUUUUUCUAUUUCAACAAUUCGAUAAAGAAUGAAAAGGUGAACCAAAAACAUUAUAAAAAAAAAAAAAGAAAAAACUUCAAAUACUCCCCAUGUGGUUUCAUUUUUUCUCACUUUAGUAUUAUAUGGUUUAAAGUGUAUCAAGUUAGUAUUUUAUGGUUUUACACUUUUUCACUUUAGUACCCUGUGAUUUUAAGUGUAUCAAUUUAGUACCCCUAGUUUCACACUUUCUCGCUUUAGUAUUCUGUGGUUUCACACUUUCUCACUUUAGUACACUUGGUUUAGAAACCACAGGGUACUAACUUAAUACAAAAAUAAAAUCGUAGGGUUGUAACUUGAUACAUUUUAAAUCAUAGAGUACUAAAGUGAGAAAGUGUGAAACCACAGGAUACUAACUUGAUGCACUUUAAAUUAUAGAGUACUAAAAUGAAAAAGUACAAAAUUAUAGGGGAUUUUUUUGAAGUUUUUCAAAAAAAAAAAAAAAGCCAAACUCAGUGGAUUGCUUUCCUGGUGCACCAGGUGCAAGAAAUAACUUUUCCAGCAGGGGUAGCUACACCUGGGAUCCCAUUCGUACGACCUCCACCUCACAUUCAACUCGUGAGGCAUAAUCGGGGCAUCGCUUUUGGUAGCUUUUCUCUUUAUUAUGGUACUACCAUGACUCAGAAAACGAAAAAAAGAGAAAAUUGUAAGAAUUGAAAGGAAAAAACUACACUCUAUAUUUGAAUUUUUUAAAGAAAAAACUUCAAAAAACCCCCCUGUGGUUUCGUGCAUUCUCACUUUGCUACCCUGUGGUUUAAAACGUAUCAAUUUACCCCCAUGUGGUUUCAUUUUUAUCUUUUCGGAAGCUUUUUCGUUAAUAUUUCGUUAAAUUAUAUACAAAAAACUUCAGAUAACCAUCUAUAUUUAUCGAAUAGUCACUUUAGUAUCCUUUAAUUUUAACUUUGUCACUGAUUUAAAAAAUAAUAAUAAUAAAAUUGAUAACAAAAAGAUAAAAACGAAACCACAUGGGGGCAAAUUGAUACGUUUUAAACCACAGGGUAGCAAAGUGAGAAUGCACGAAACCACAGGGGGGGUUUGUGAAGUUUUCCCUUUUUUAAAUUAUCAUAUUUUUUUCUACAAUUUAAUUUGAGAGACUGAAUAUUUCAUAUUUUGUUGACGCAAUAAUAAUAUAAUAUCUUAAUAAUUAAAACAUUAUUUAUUAUAACACUGCCACAUUACUAUCAAAUUAGAAAUAUAUCAUUGUUUAACUAAUUAUUAAAUUGAUCUGUCAGAGUUAAUUAUAAUAAUUUUAAAAAAUUGAGUCAAAAAUUAAAUUAAAUUUUGAAGAUCAAAAUUUCAUGCUCCCCAUAUUUUGAGGACCGAGAGUAUUAUUUAGCCUAAUUAAAAGUUAGAACACUUUGACUGAUGGAUUAUAAGGUUGGAUAUUUAGUUCACUCAAUGACAAUUUGGGGGACUAUUUACAUAACCACAAGUUUGACUAGUUUCAUAACUUUUUCACAUCUGUUACUCUUUUGUGGAGAAUGAUGCAAUGACGAAUAUUUUUGGGUACCUAAGUUGAAAUUUGUGGAUCUGAUCACGAAACCCUCUCUAUAUUAAUCGCAGAUUAUAUUUUUUAAAAAAUGUUAAGGCUAGAUUUUGCAUUUUCUAAAAGAAGGUGUAGAGAAUCAAACUCUGAUCUCUUAAUUGAAGAUUCAGAAUACCCCGAACUUAAUCAUCAUCUAAGUAGCUUACUAGAAUUAAUACAGUGGUUAUGUGGGGUAUGAGUUCACUUCAGUGAAAAUCUCCCUAUGCGAUAAGGAUAGAGUGGGAGCAAAUUUUGUUUAUAAAAUGUCCGAAAAAAAAAGAAAAAUCAUCGCAAUCAAAGGGCAUCCAAAUUUAAACCUACCUAAACUGAAUCUCACAUCUAGCUUAAUUUUAACACUAAAAUAAACAACUGUCUAGAGCUAAGAUGCGCGAUUUUCUUAAUUAUACUCUCUCACUGCACUCUAUGUCUAGUAGUGUUGGAAAAUAAAUGAAAGGGUUCAAUUAUUAAUUAGGGUCUUAAAAUAAUCUUGUUGUUAAUUAAGCACUAGCGAAGCAGGGAUUAGCUCGAAAAAAAUGUUUUCACUGGAGUGGGAGCAAAUUGAAGUUGAAUUAACACCACUUGAAAUUUUUUAAUAAGCACUAAUUGAUCAUGAUAAUGGGUGUCAAAACAAUGUUGAAAACAUUGUUAGAUUCUUGAUGUUGGCUGGUUCUUGAAUAAAGAUAUUAAUCAGACAAAAGGAUGGCAUUAGGUACUUCAAUAAUUGUACUAUUACUGUAGCUCAUUAUUGUUCUUAAUUAUUUAGCAUAAAAAAGAAAGCACAUUUUUUUGAUGCAACCAAUGCAUUUCCUCUCAAGAAUGCUCGGUAAAAUUGUUUGUGCACUCUUCCCUUGUUUCAUAAAUUUACUGUUGUUUGAUAACAAAUUAGUUUCGCAGAUCAUGAUAUUAAUUUAGCGUUGCAGAACUCAAAGAUUAAGAGCAAAAUUAACUUUAAUACUAUGCUAUCUAAAAACAUCAGUCCGGUAAAAAAUAUUUUAGAAACAUGUUUAACAUGUUUAUUUCAGAUUCACUUAAUGCCAACAAAUGCAAAGAAAUUCACGAGUUACAAUUGAACAAAGUUUAAAGAUUUUAGAAAUCUAUCAAAACAAAUUGAAACUACUUGUUGUAAUUAUUUGGUCCACGAUAUGAUUUCUUGAGUUAUUGACAUUUUUAAAAAAUUGGACCAAUAAUAGUUGAAGAAAGUAAAAUUUCAAGUAUCUGAUCAAAUUAUUUCAAGAGGCGGAAUGUAAUACCUGUGUGACAACAUAUCCUGCCGUCUCAAACAAAUAGUUUAAGAAAUUCUUCUCACAUAAUUUUUGUCCUAAAUCCUUGGGCCAGGGGAGCAAGAACACGUCCAGCAGGGACGGCUACGAUAUUUGAGAACAAAUCUAAAUCUUUAGCGUUAUUUGCAGAAAAGGAUCUGCAACCCUUCUCAAAACUGCGCCACCCCACGUUCUUAUUCUAUCUAUCCUUUUUUUAGUAGUCUCUGAUACCAACCCAGGAGUGUUCUUUUGCUAAUCCUACUUAGCAAGCUUAUUGUUGUGUGGGUGCGAGAAAAUUAGCAUCUUAAUUAACUUAGUCCAACCACAACCCAAUCUCCUCACAUACCAAUAAUGGAGAAGUGCGAAGAGGAGAUAAACCUGUGUCCACUGUUGUUUUUGUCACUCUGAUGUAUAUAUAGAUCAUAAUAGGUUGUUUUUUUUAAUUCAUUAUUAAAGCCAUCUCUUUUUGAAAAAAAAUAAAUUAAUAAGAAGAGCGAUAUUUUGUAUCAAUAAAUAAAAAUGUCGAUGUAAAACCAACCUCGAUUCCAUCUCUAAGGUAAUUCUCACGCCAAUCUUAAAGUAAGAAAGAAAAAAGAUAUUACUAAUAUAAAUUAGUUUCACUCACUUAUCUAGAAGGUUAAAUAGGUUAAAUUACUGCUCUCUCUCUCUCUCUCUCUCUCUCUCUCUCUGGGNUUUUUUUUUUUUUUUUUUUUUUUUUUUCUUUUUGAGCUAAUAACUAAUCAAAUGUAACUAAAAUUACAGCGACAAUUCAAUGUACUGUAAGAAUUAAAGACCCCUGAAUUUGAAUCUUUUGGGCCAUCACUCAAUUAUAGAUCUCAAAAGUGUUACAUAUAUUACAGCUACACUAUUUUCCAGCUCAUGAGAACCUUCCUCUGUCACGUGCAAUCGAGAAUGAUACUACUCCAUUAAUGGUCGGCGCUAAUGCACCCUUUGACUUGAAAAUAUAUUUAUUGAGGCUUACGCAGGAACCAAGCAAGCAACAUACAUGAUCCAGCUGCCUCUUCUUAGUGUCCCUUAUCAACAAUAUAAUAAUAAAAAACAAAGGAAACUUGUAGGAAGCUCCCAGUACUGCAAUUAAGCCGCUUACCUGCUCACUGUUGCCCUAUAAAUAUAGGCCCUUCAUUUUACUCCAACACAUCAAUAUCCUCACAGCAAGCUCUCUCUCUCUCUCUCUCACUCACUUGCUCCUCCUCUUUUGCUCUCAAAUGGGUUCUUUUACUGCAGCAACAUCAAACCUUUUGCUAUUAGCAGUAGUGAUUUUUAGCCUAGUUCACUUAUCAACGGGGUCUAGUAGGAAACUGAGUGCUUUAGUAGAACCACAGCCCAAUCUCCUCACGUACCACAACGGCCAAGUGCUCCGAGGAGAUAUCCCUGUCUCCAUCUUAUGGUACGGUCAAUUUACUCCCACCCAAAAAUCCAUCAUCUCCGAUUUUCUCCUCUCCCUCACCUCCACCACUCAGUCCUCGCCGAACCCUUCUGUGUCCCAGUGGUGGAGCUCCAUAGAACAGCUUUACUUGUCGAAGGCCGGGAAAAGUGGAGGCCCAACAACGGCCCAUGUCGUGUUAGCAAGCCAAGUCUCGGAUGAGGGGUGCUCUUUGGGGAAGUCCCUUACGAUGGGCCAAAUUUCGGAGCUCGCCGCGAAGGCCCAGCCCAAGAAGGGAGGAGUUGGGCUGGUUUUCACGGCCCAGGACGUGGCGGUCGAGGGGUUCUGCAUGAGCCGGUGUGGGCUCCACGGCUCGGACCCGAGAACCGGGUCGGCGUACGUCUGGGUCGGGAACUCGGCGACCCAGUGCCCGGGCCAGUGCGCGUGGCCCUUCCACCAGCCCACCUACGGCCCACAGACCCCGCCGCUAACGGCGCCUAACGGCGACGUCGGCGUCGACGGCAUGGUGAUCAACCUCGCGAGCAUGUUGGCCGGGGCCGUUACGAAUCCGUUCGGGGACGGGUUCUUCCAGGGGCCCAAGGAGGCGCCGUUAGAGGCCGCGACGGCGUGCGCGGGUGUUUAUGGGAAAGGGGCGUAUCCGGGGUACGCUGGGGACCUGCAGGUGGAACCCACCACGGGUGCGAGCUACAACGGCAAUGGGGCCCACGGGAGGAAGUACCUGCUCCCCGCGCUGUUUGACCCGUCCACGUCCACUUGCUCCACGCUGGUGUGACAACCGUGCAUGUGUGGGAUUUAUACAUGUCGUAUGGAUGUGUAUCUAUCUAUGUGUUAGAACCGUUCGAUUCUUUGAUUCUUUUAUAUUGUUGUUGUACUAUUAAUAAUAUAUAAAUGGAGCUAAAAUUUUUUUUUGAUAGAAGCUACAACUUGAUAUUUAUAUAUAUAUAUAUAUGGGACUACAUAUAUCAGUGGUGUUUAAACACUUUGGCCCUCUCGUUGUGGCCUCCUCUCGCACAAAGGCCUGGGCUUGCACAAUAUAUAGGCCUAAAACUAAACUCGCAACAAGCUUGUUCGGUCAUGAACCUGGCCCAGUUGAGAAUUUUACAAAGCUAGUGAAGUCAUAGCCACGUGCGAAAAGAUUUGAGUUCCUACAAUCACAGAUUCGAUACAAAAGAUAUCUUUCGACAACUAACUAUAUCUAGCACAAUCAGUUAAGAGUUAAUUGGAUAGUUAAUAUCUAAGAUUCCAAAUUCUAAAAUUAAUUGUUUUACAAUUUUAGCCAAAUUUGUUUCUAAAAAAUCAACGAAAUAAAUAGCAAACUAUUUUUUUUCUAAAAAAUAAGACUGCUCAUGAUCCCUAUGUACUUGGUUCGAUAAUGAGGAUACUUUGAAAGAGUUAAUGUUUAAUAUGUUUGAGUUGAACAAAUUGAAGUUCUCAUGAAUCAAGCCCUUCUGGUUAAAUGGCGGUGGAAAUUCCACAUAGCUCCCCAGUUACAAUGGAAUCAGCUAGUCAGAGACCUGUACUACCGACGGCAUACUCCUUUGAGGGAAGGUAAAACUUUCAGACCCUACUCUAGCUGGUGGACGGGGGUGCUGAGCCUUAACUAUAUCUUUUCUUGGGGAAUGGCCUACAACCUAGGCAACAGGCGGGCUAUUGAUUUUUGGCACGAUCGGUGGUGUGGGGACAAUUUGAUGUUUCUUUUGUUUCCGACGGCCUACCUUAUGUCUGGGGGGAAAAAUUUGAAAGUCGGCGACUGUUUUACGAGGGGAAGGUGGAACUGGUCUUUGAUUGAGGGUGGCGCUGCGAGUCAGAGCCGAGGGACGAGGGCCAGUUUCGGGGAGUUAGAGGAACGAAUCUCUCAGCUCUCAGUUCGACCCACACCGGACAGGUUACUUUGGCGAUGGAGUGCAGAUGAACUAUUCACGGUAAAAUAAACCUAUAUGGCGUUGACGGAUGGGGGUACGAGGGACGCUCGAGCUUCUCGUGUUUGGAGACUCAAAAUCCCUUUAAAGGUAAAAGUGUUAUGUUGGCUGGUCCUUAAGAAGAGAACUCCUACGAGGGACAAGCUCUUCAAGAGAGGGUUGAUUCAAGACCCAACCUGUGUACUUUGCGGGUCGGAAGAUGAAACUGUGGAUCACAUGUUUUCCCAGUGCGUUUUUACCAUGUUUUUAUUAGUAAUGGGGGUAGUGGGCGUGCAAACACAAGACCUGGGGGAUGAGGUGAACCUAGUCUGGGACAGAUGGUUUGUCAGGAAGAGCCUACACACGAAGAGAAACAGUCUCACUGAGUUAGUUUGCUGCUGGUGGAUCGCUUGGAAAGCCAGAAAUGAUUUCAUCUUUAGGAAAAUCCAGCCGAAUCCAGAAAUGGCGAUCCGCUACCUAAAUCAGUUGGUGAAGGAGUGGGAUUCACUGCUCUCAGCUGCCGUUACGUGAUCUCUACCUGUACUUCUUUUUCUUUUUUUUUAGGGGCCCGAGUUGUCCCACUCUUAUAGCCUAGUUCAUCUUCCCAUUGAAUGAAGCGGGUAGCAUGCUACCUUUGUCUAAAAAAAAAAACAAAUUGAAGUUCUACGAUCAACCGUGUAACUCGUGACUUCUACAUUUCUAACGAAGAUAGAUUCUGCAUUGUAUGAUUUGCUCUGGCGUUUAUAUUCACUCCACACAACACUUCUAAUAAAACUCAGAUUACAAACAAUACGGAUCCUUCUUCUGCGCAAUAUCUAGGAGACUAACAAAUGAAAAAUAAACAAAAAUCACACACCGUCCGUUUAUCAUCUACUACCCUUUUAAAGCUGUCAAUUCCCUCUACCCUCCAAAGUAUGCUUAUAAUAAUAAUAAUUUACUUGGAUUCACCGCCACGAUCAAAAUAAAUAAAAAAUGCCAAUGUACAUGCAUCUGCUUCAUAUUGGAAUCGUACCGGUGUAAGUGAAGAUCUUGCAAAAUGUAGCUGCUCCCCUGUGCCCCUCUCUGCGAGACCACAUUGGAGACAUAUGUAUGGUGCACACCAUAAUAUGCACACAUGGCGCUCAGAUUCCGAGGCUUUAGUACACUACCAAACAUGAACUAAAUCUAACACCAGCACGGCCACAAUUGUUUUAGCUUAUUAUUUUUAUCUGAUGUUGAUGUGGUAAUCGUAAGCGCUAACCAACUAUUCCAAACACACCUGUUGAUAAGAAAGGUUCACCAAUCGCAUUUAAGGGCUCAGUCACAACGCUCGUGAAUUUCAACCUGACUCAAUAUUUCUGAAUGUUGGGUCUAUUAUUAGAUCUCUUACUGUUAGACCUCUUGUGGUUCGCAUCUUCAUUCAACUUAUUAGACUUAUCCAACUCAAGUUAUUAGUUUUUUGAGUCUAUUGUCACAGGACAAGAUAUUAAUUCUAUUUUAGUCCAAUAAUAAAUAGCCAACAAUAACGUGCAUAUUGUGAAUGCAUUUGAGAUGUUUUAUACAUCUUGUUUGACAUUCCACAUAAAUUGAUCAAUUAAGUAGCUAUUAGAAUAUUAAAAUUUUGAUGUAUUGGUAUUAUAUUGAAUACGCCCAUCUAAGAUGCACGCUGCACUGUACAGUACGGUCUCUGUUUCUUGGAUUUGGGCAUUCGGGAUGGACACUGGACAUGGGCAAAGGGAAGUGUUUCCCACAUCCCGUGAAUAUGGUGGCGUUAUGAGUUGUGUUCACACAAAUGGGGUCAGGUACAGAGUUUUAGCACGUGGGAACCAUCACCCAACACGUGAUGGCCCAUUGCUUGUUAUUGUGUGUCGACUUUCACUGUAGCUGCAGCAGUACCCACGCGUGAAGUCCCCAAAUCCCAAUCUAAGCUUUUAUUUUUGGCAACAUGUGUGGAUAGUCCAUUUAACAUCAGAUAUUAAAAUUCAUUUAUUAAAUUUUUUUGGGAAAACUUCAAAAACCCCCCAUGUGGUUUCGUGCAUUCUCACUUUGCUACCCUGUGGUUUAAAACGUAUCAAUUUGCCCCCCUGUGGUUUCGUUUUUAUCUUUUUGUUAUCAAUUUUAUUAUUAUUUUUUUUUUAAAUCAGUGACAAAGUUAAAAUUAAAGGAUACUAAAGUGACUAUUUGAUAAAUAUAGAUGGUUAUCUGAAGUUUUUUGUAUAUAAUUUAACGAAAUAUUAACGAAAAAGCUUCCGAAAAGAUAAAAAUGAAAUCACAGGGGGGUAAAUUGAUACGUUUUAAACCACAGGGUAGCAAAGUGAGAAUGCACGAAACCACAGGGGGGGUUUUUGAAGUUUUCCCAAUUUUUUUUCGCUUAAAAAAAUUUUUUUUUUUUUGUUUCUAAUUUGUACGUGCAUUGCAUUGGAGGCUGGUUUUCUAUAGCCUUGUGCGCAAACAAAGUUCUUACAUAUUUUAGUUAAUUUAUUUUAUUCGUAAAGUAUAUUAAAUAUAUCUGUAAAGAUAAAGACGUUGAUCAAUUCGAAUUAAACAAAUUAAUAUUUUGAAAGAAUAAUAAAUAGCGAACUCAAAAUGAUCCAUAGUACACGUAAUACUCGCUUAUUUUAGUCAAGUACACACUUUAACAAACAUUGUUCAGUAGCACGAGGACUAUACAUUCAAUUUAUUCGUUAUUUCAUGAAGAAGGGAUUGCAUGUUCUACUUUUCUUUCUCCUUAUUUUUUUUAAAAAAUAUUUUAUGAGAAGUGAGAAUCGAUCCCCUGGUCCAUUAUGCAUCUUUAUGUGAACAUUCAUUAUUUUUGAAGCUCAAUUAAUUGAUCUCUAUCGACUCAUUUUCCUAUGCCUCCCGGUUCAUGCACCCGUGCUCGCAGUUGCAGUGGCAGUCGAUUCUCAGAAGCGCUUCUUCUUAACUUUGGAAAAUUACUUCUCGGAAUAGCUGAUUAAUUGCUUCCCUGUCUGAUUGCUUCACGAGUCUCCCGUACGUACCUAGAUUAUGAAGCCUUAUUCAUGUUCGAAUUAUUUUUUAAUUCCUCAAAUCCUAAUAAACCUACAAGUUUGGUUUUACUCGAAAAUGUUAAUUUAAGAUAAAAAAAUAUAUAUAUAAUUCGCGAUCUACGAAUUUGAUCUUGUUAUGUAACUUGCAUUUGUUUCGCACACUAGUACCAGUUCAGUACUCGUAUAUUUAUGUGUUUGCACUAGGCUUAUGCCAUACUAGUAGUGUGUCAAGCAAGUGGCAGAAAUAAAUAAAAAAAUAAUAUUUUUUAUCAGCGGCUAUGUAACUGUAGUAAUUAUCACAUUUGUUUAUUUACUUUACCAUAAAUUUUUGGAUUUGCAUGUAAAGAGAUAAAAAUAUUUAUAAUAAUUAAUUUUCAUUCUUUUUUAUCUUUUUUUCUUCUGUGCUAGACUUGGAAUAAAUUAAUUACAACGUUAUGAAAAAAAAAAAGAAAAGUUACCCACGGCAAAUCAAAACUGUAGAACUAAACAUUUGCGAUAAGAAAAAAGUUUUUUACUUUCUCUACUUUGAAAAAUAAACAUGCCUGAAGUGGCAUGGUUAAUGCUAUCCAAAUGGAUCCUGACACUGUUGUUUAGCUAAAACGUGCACGACAAUUUUCUUUCUUUAAUUUAUUAUUUAUAUUUUUAUUGUGACUUAUUUUUCAUGCCAUAAUUAAGAUUUUUAUUUUUUGUUUUUUUUUUAGAGAUAAGUAGAACGCUACCCGCUUCGUUUAUUUCAUUUAGAAAUAAACUUAGCUGAAAAUAUAAAUCAACUAGGAUUCGAACUUAAAACCUCAUAUACUGAUCAUAAUUAAGGUUCUCACUCCCCAACAAAGCGUAGCUACGAGACACUGCCCUGUGAUCUGGCUUGGGCCCUGCUCUUUAUCUUUCCUCCAUUUUUGAGUUCCAUAGGUUAGGCCACAACCUACUAAUAAAGCUUUUAUAUAUAUAUAUUGCAAUUUGCAAACAGUGGCAGUUAAGUCACGGAUCCAUUAGGAGAAAAUUACAAACGGUUCCUCGUCACAUGCAGGAUCGACCAUUUUCAUAAUGUUUUUAUAAAUCAAUGCAUAAAUAAAUUUCCCACAUUUCUCAACUUCUCAUAGAACCCAAUUCAUCUCCAAAAAUGUCUGAUAUUGUGUCGCAAUUAUUUGUCACGCUCUUACUAAUAGGCUCAAGAUAUGAAUUUAAAUAAAAAAUUAUUUAUUUUUUUUGCUAUGAUGCUAUACGAAAUAAGAUACAAUUAUUAUUGUUUUCUAAAAAUUUAAAUUAUUAACUAGCAGUAUUUUAAUAUUAUGUUCAACAUUUAAGGAAGGUUUUAAUGGUGAAUACCCAAUUCUACAUCCCUAAAAAAGGAGAAAAAUAAAAUAAAAAAUAAAAAAGAGUUGUUAGAAUCGUUUUUCAAAAGUAAAAUAAAAAAGAAAAUGUAGCAACCAAUGAAAAAUGGACACAUGUAUUGGAAAUUACUAGAGCUUUUGCACUACACGGCCCACCGCCGCUAAUUUUUAUUUGAAGAGAUUCGGUUUUGCUACUUUAAUUGUAGGAGUUGUUGCAUUAAUUAAGAACUUAAUCUCAUCAUAUAAGUUUUAAUGCUAAUCCUCUGUGCUUUGUCGAGUUUACCAAUAAAUAUUUUUAAAAUUUGUGCUAAACUAUUUCUAAAUAGAAAAUUGAAACUAUAACAAAGAUAUAAAAGUUAUCUAAAAUAGUAUUGUGGUGUUAAAAUAUAUAUUCACUAGUAAUAAAAAUUUCAACCUGGGUUUCAAAUAUUUCAAUGGAUAGAAACUCUGAUGAGCAUUGUUUUAUUUGUUGUUCUUAUGUUUUCUUUUUUUUUUUUUUAAAAAAAAUGCUCUAAUAAUUGGAGACCAAAGGAACAUUGAUGACGAAUUGACCUAACAAUUUUGCAUGCCUAGCAUAAUGCCACAAGGUUAUUCUUUGGGUCCCGCACUAAGAGUCAAUUAUGCACUGCACAAAUUUAUACAAUAUAUUAAAUUAUAUGUUUAAACCAAUUCACUUAAAAAUAAAUAGAUACAACGCUUACCGAUUUUUGAACUCGUGAUCUCUCACUCUAAUACUAUUUGCCGAAUCGUUGGCGCUAGCCACUACUAAAAACUCGAACCGCUAGAAAAGAACAAUCAAUUCACUUAAUGCGAACAUACACAACAGCCGACGAGUCUUAAUUGUGACUCGGUUCAAUCCGAUCUCCGCCACGUGAUAGGACGCUGACCCUGACCCUUUUAAGUCAAUAUUCGUCAAUUAUAUAUGCUAAAACAUGCAUCCAGUACCUAUAAAAAAAACAGGAGAUGUAUAUUAGUUCUUAGAUAAAAAGUCUUAAUAGAGUUUCUAAACUUGAAUUUACUUCAAUUAAUGUCUUCUUUUAAAUGGCAUGGUGGUUCCUUACACCAAUCCAUUAAUCUGGAUUGCAUAACAAGCUUGCCUAAUAUUCCUAUUAUUUUCUUGCUUUUACUGGAUGAGACCACCAUGUGUAACUACACUCAAAGCAUGCAUCAAGUUCUUUGGUCCUGACCAUCUUAUCUUUAGUUUGGUAAUCAUUAUGGCCACAGCUUCAUUAUCAUACUUUCCUUUAGAAAUUUGGGAUCUACAAGAUAAUUUAAUACUCUAAGCAACACAUUACUCAUACCGAAUUGUAUUCUUCUUUGUAAUCAAUUAUCGACCGAGUCUGUAAUAUAUGUUAUCCAGAAAGAUCGAUGUGAUACUGGUUGAAUUUGAAAACUUUUAUAAUAGAGAGAGUUUGAAAUUAUUAUGAUGUCAUUUUAUCGAAAAGACAUUUAAUAAAGAGUAGUUUAGAAAUAGUUUUGAUAUAUGAUACAUGCAUUGUCAAAUUAGACCUCACUCAAAGUUCCAUCCUGCUUGGGCCAAACCCAACAAAAUUUAAAGCUGCUUUUUCCCCUCUAAAACAGAGCCUUUAGCUCGUGGUUCUCUCUGCCCAAUGCUCUGUUUACUUAUUUUUAAUUCACAAAUUUAAAGCUUAAUUUCUCAAACUCCCCACUAAUCCAUAUAACUAUUCACAUGCGUUGCCACAGGAAACACCUAGGAACCCUCACUCAACACAUGCACCCCAUCCCCUUUCUCGCAUUUAUCUAUCUAUUUCCUUUGAGCCGCACCCAAAUACACUAGCAGAGAAUAAUAUCUAUGCGAGUUAUUCCAAAGCAUAAAUUAACAAAACAAAGAAUCCGUAACAUAAAUUAACCUUUAAAAAAGAAAAAAAAAAGAAAAAAAAGCCCACAAGGGGGAAAUAAAUGCUUGCCACGUGUCACAUCUCCUACUCUAAUGGUCCAUCAUCAUUAAUCAUUAAUCUACUUAAAAAAUUGAAGCAGUGUUUCUCACAAUACACGUUUCCCUUUAAUUUUUUUAUUUUUUUGCCUUAUUCAUGCACCAUUUCCACAAUUCCGCCUAUAUAUAUAUCCCCCUCUCCUCAAUCCAAUCUCAUCACCUCAUCUAAAAGCUCUAAAAAGGAAAAAGCUCUUUCCCUAUAAUGUCACACAUCUCUGAAACAAAGGCCACUUGUAGUUUCCUUCUUAUUUUUCUUGUGGGCUUCGUAGAUUUUUGCUAUGGCUCUAGAAAACUAAGUUCUCUAUACCAACCACCCCCCACUCUCCUCGCAUACCACAAGGGUGCUUUACUCCAAGGAGAAAUCCCCAUCUCUAUACUGUGGUAUGGUAAGUUCACCCCUGCACAAAAAUCCAUCAUCUCCGAUUUCAUUCUCUCACUAUCUAGUCCCUCCUCAACUCCAAUUACACCCUCCGUUUCCAAAUGGUGGAGCAACGUAGACAACCUAGUACAAAAAGCGGGUAAAAACAAGACCCACAUCACCCUUGCUCACCAAGCAUCCGACGAGCACUGUUCCAUUGGGAAAUUGCUCAAGAGGACACAGCUACUCGAACUGGCCCGCAGAACCGGUUCGGCGAAGGCCGGGGUGGCGCUGGUCCUCACCGCGGCCGACGUCGCGGUGGAGGGCUUCUGCAUGAACUCGUGCGGCUCCCACGGUGCGGUCGGUAGCGACGGUGCGGCAUCGGCGGCGUACGUGUGGGUCGGAAAUUCUAUGGCGCAGUGCCCGGGGCAGUGCGCGUGGCCGUUCCACCAGCCGGUGUACGGGCCGCAGAGCCUGCCGCUCGUCGCCCCGAAUGGCGAUGUCGGCGCCGACGGCAUGGUGAUCAAUCUCGCCGGCCUGCUGGCGGGGGCCAUCACGAACCCCUUCGGUAGCGGCUACUUCGUGGGGGACGCAUUGGCGCCCGUGGAGGUGGCGGCGGUGUGCGCGGGGGUUUACGGGAAAGGGGCGUAUCCGGGCUACGCCGGGGAACUUCCGGUGGACUCGGCAACGGGGGGGAGUUACAACGUGGAGGGAGUGAACGGGAGGAAGUUUCUGGUUCCCGCCAUGUUCGAUCCUCUCACUUCUACGUGCUCUCCUGUUGUGUGAAGUGGAGUGAGGUGAUUGAUGGCCCUUUUUGUAAAUUGAUGACGCAUAUGUGAAUAACAACGAUGUUGUAAUAAAAUUUAUGAUUGGUGGUGGAGUUUUCAAAAAAUUGGUGAAUAUUUCUCCAUGUUUUUCAUUACUAUAUAUAAAGUAAGGUUUUCAUUACUAUAUAUAAAGUAAGGGAUAAUUUACCAAUUUAUUGGGUGAUUCAAAUAAUUUAGAAAAAAAAAAAGAAAAAUUCUCUGACAGGCCCAGUGUGUAAUGGAUCGUAGCUAAUAAAAGGCCGAGCCAAUACGUAUAUAGGCCCCCAAUUUCUCCCACUCCAAUAGCCCAAUUCCUCAGCAAUUCUCCAUCCCCUAUUUCCCUCCUCUUCCUCUCCCUCUCCCCUCUCUUUCUCUCUCUAUUGGUAUUUUUCUCUCUCUAGAUCAUAUGGGAUUUGGGGCUUCGAUCUCUCUCUCAUGAUCUCUUGUUCUCUCUAGAUCGUGUGGGAUUUGAGGCUUCGAAUGGUGUAUGCAUCGCCGCAAUGCCCCACUCGGCCUUCGACGAAGCUCUUUGGCGAUUGCUACGGCCAAUCAAUUGCUCAGAAUCCUAAUCUAGGUAUUUUCCUCUUACUUCGCCCUCAUGAUUUCGGUUUUCCCCAGAUCAUCGAAGCCCUCAUGCGAUUGAUGCUUUGUGUUGUUGGAUUCAUUUGUUUGAGUGCGCAAAAGCUAUCGAAGAGUUCUUGAUAUUUAGAUUUUAGCUCUUAAUUGAAAGCUACAAAAUCAACAAUUACAAAAUUAGGCCAUAGAUGUACUGAUGUGUUGUACAUGGAACUUAGUUGUUUUUGUGUGGUUGUGAACGAGAUGCAAACGACAUCGCAGUUUAUGUUAAUGGGAACGUGUAAAUCGAGUGAUCUGACAGUGUAGGUGUAUUGAUUUAUGGUUGAAGUAAAUAGUCAUAUUGAUUAAGCUUUUAGGCCACAACAUGUAUAGUAGAGUUGAGCAAUCGUGUGACACACUAAGAUGUUACUGGCCAACUUUCGAUGUUAACAAAGAAGAGUGUUACCUACCAUCCCUAGGGUAAGUGGCCAAGGGCUCGGUGGUUCGUAUCCGAGGUUCUAAGUUCGAAUUCUAGUUGAUUCAUAUUUCUAGCUAAGUUUAUUUCUAAAUGAAAUAAAUAAAGCAGGUAGCGUGCUACCUAUCUCUCAAAAAAAAAAAAAAAACAAAGAAGAGUGUUCGAGUGUUGAAUUGUGCUAUAAAUUAAGUCAAUGAAGUUCUGACACUGAAAUGAAGUAGUGAGAAUUACCAUUAAGCCUUCAGGAUAAAGCUUCCACAAAUUCUUAAGCUCAUCAUUUUAAAAGUGUCUUCCGUAGAUUCUUUCUUGUGAUUAUAAUUAAACGACGAUAAAUCGGAUGGGGCUAUCACUAGGGUAUCGAAUUACAAUCCAAGCUGAGAAGAUAUCAGCAAACCGAACUAUAAAGCUUCCUUUAUUCAACACGUUUAAAAAUCGGGUCAAACAACGACUUGGAAUAUUACUAGAUGAAGGGUCACUGAUACAUCCAGUGAGUCAACCAUUAGUUGAACCAGUAAAGUCAGUAUAAUAUCGUAAAUAUUUUAUUAUAUAAUAUAUAUAUAAUAAUAUUAUAUAUAUAUAGAGAGAGAGAGAGAGAAUUAAACUGGAAUGUUAUCAGUAGCAAACAGGCUCCGGUGCUAUCCAUUUAUUUUCAAUGAUAGAGUCUUCAAAUCGACGAUCGGCAUCGUAGAAUAUGAUUUAUACCACUUGAAGUAUCUAGAAAUCAAGUUUCAAAUCUUUUCGACAUUAUUGAUCUAAUGAGCAAAGGUUUUCAAAAUUUGUAGUUUUAAUGGUCAAUAUGAUGUGAUUUCGCGUUUAACGGUAUAAAGAUAUCCAAAUUAAUUGAAUUUUGAUUAGAAAUUUUUUUGGUUAGAAAAUUUUUUAAACUAUCCAAAAUAAGAUCUAUACUUUUGAUCUUGAUUACAAGAUCCCUAUCAUCACUUUUUAAAAAAUAUUCAUUUUCAGCUGUUCAUUUUUUGUGUCCACUUGAUGAACAAAAGGAUAAUAUCGAAAAAGUAUGAAAUUUGAUUUCUAGAUGCUUCAAGUGGUAUAGAUCAUGUUCAAUGAUGCAGAUUGUUAAUUUGGAGGCUCCAUCAUCGAAAACAAAUGAGUGGCAACGGAACUUGUUUGCUACUAAUAGCAUUCCAGUUCAACGCUAUAUAAUAUAUAUUAUUAUUCUAGUAUCAUGCUUAAUUUUAAAGUAUUGAUUUUUAGACCAAAUUAAGUAAUAUAAAUUUUUAAUUUACAUAUUUUAUAAGACGCUAACAGAAAAUAAAAUCAGCUAAGUUGAUUUUAGGUUGUUGGAGUUUAAUAUGACUUAAUCAAAAACAUCCAGCCGGUUCAAUUAAAACUGGGCCGAUUCAUCAACAUGAACGGUUUGAAGCGGUUUUCAUCUUAUCCGGUUCAAAGGUUGAACCGAACCGCUUCAUAGACUGGUUACAGUUAGACCGGUCAAACCGCUUGGUUCGCUCAAUUUUUAAAUCAUUGCUUUUAGUUGCAACAAAAUUCAGAAAUUAGGGUUAACUUUAGAACAUAAAUAGAAAAGCGAGAGAGAGACGAGAUUGGAGACUAUUUCUAUAUUGAUGUUAUUAUUAAUCUCUCGGCAAUCAGACACAAAUGAAGUGGAUAGUAUGUAAGAUUGUUAAAUAUCCUGCCCCACAUCAGUCCUUUUCUUCUGUCGAUCAUCGUACUCCUUUUUUUCAAUUAUCUUGCAUAUUAACCUUAUUUACUAUGUGCACUGGUGUCUCUACAUGCUGUCUUUGACCAGUGAGUCACGCUGAUAGCGAAAUUCACCCUCAGCGCUUUUUCUCAUAUUUCUACUUCUGUGGUUACCGUAAGCUCUGCAAGAUCUGCUCAUUUUUAUGUUAGUGGAUCACAUUUUUCGUAUAAUCAAGCAUAAAGAGAUCUAACUGGACAAGGAUCCAACGCACAUGAAUAUGUAGAAGUGAAAAAUCCAAGCCUAAUUAAUACUAUCGUUGAUUCUUUAUUAGUUAUUUCCUUCUUUUCACAUUUUCAAUUGUGCCCUUUUUUUCAUGUUUCCCGAUGUCCUUUGCAUAUUAGUGAUUUUGUAUAUAUGCGAAUAUUGAUCCUAUGUUGAUAAAGGAAAAUGUAAUGUAUGUUGAUCUGUUCAUUGCUAGUAUAAUGUUUGCUUAUUUCCACAUUAUUAAUUGUCAAAUGGGAUGGGAAUGACUCGUUGACAUUUUAUUCUCUUGCACUACGUUAGCAAAAGAUAUAAAAGCAACGGUAGAAGUUAAUCACCUGUAUUUGAAUUGAAAGUGAUCCGUUGAAUAAAAAAUGAACUUGUUUACUUAAUUACCAUUUAAUCUUCAUGAAGGUUUAUUAUCUGUCAUUUGUACAAUUUAUUAAGUAGUUUCUAUAAAGGUUUUUUUGUCCCCUUAUUCAUAAUUACAGCGAAAAUUUAUUAAUUUAUUAUUUUGAACUUGAAACUUCACAUGCCUUUGCUUGCCCUGAUGCUAAGGCCGCUGAAAUCUUAUGAUUUGGUUGGAGAUGCAUCCUAAGGAAAUUGAUAAAGAAAAGUCUUGCACAACUUGCAGUAGGUGUCUUUUCAUUAUCGAACAAAAGCAUUCAAUUCCUUGACCUGGUCUACUUGUCUCCUAUUUUACUCGACCGUUGAGAAGAAAUGAAAGACGAUGCUCAAUUUUUUGCAUGAGAUAAUAAAACCUUGAGAUAUUCACAGAUUGGCAAUGUAAAAUUGGCAGGUCUCUUUUUCUUUUUCCAUUAAAGACUUUAUUCCUUUACACAGAUCCAGAUGGCCUUUUACUUCCUUCUCUAGAUAUUUUUCAAAAAAUGGGUGAAGUGAGGAGUAAACUAUGCAGCACUUCACUUAAUAACCUAUCAAGAACUAAAGGUUCCGAGAUUCUCUUCAGUUUUUUAUUGGAAAUCCAUUCAAGACAGACAACUUCAGCUGUCAUUGAUAGCAAAAAGGGCUCAUUACAAUUAUAGGUGGUCCCUCGCAUAUUUGGUGUCGGUUUCAGUUCAAUGUAGUUGACCAGAAUUUUGGUAUCCUAUUGAAGACAGAAGGACAGCUCCUUGAAGACAGAUUGGAUAAAGAUGGGUAGAACUGGGAGCAUCCUAUUACUGAGUUUCAAAGAUUAAACUACAGUAUUUGAAGGCUGUGAAGGAUAUAGCUCAUUUUAUCUGCCUAUUUUCAUCUAUUUCUUUUGAUUUCUCAAAAGUCAUUUUCAACUUCCCUUUUCAGCGUUAUGUUAUGUGUUGUAUUCUACAUGUUAAUGACAAAUCUUAUCUUGGUCAAUUGAACUUUAUGAUCAACAUUCGAUGUGAGUAGCAUCAUGUAUUUUUCUUGCGGAGUACUUUUGCUUAUAGUAUUGGUUGUUCAAUCUUGUUAAAACUCAUCAGGUUAGAUGUGCACACUGAUGUUCUGUUCUUAGUCAUUAAACAAACAUGGAUAGCUGUAAUUUCGUAAAUUUAAUUAUAUUCUGAUCUCUUUAAAAUGCAGGAGUGGUAGCUUGUCCAUUCGACUGUAAAACAACAUAUGCUUCAGACUUUUUAAAAGGUUGCUUAUUUUCCCAGUAUAGGGAAGGCAGAAUACAUUCAGAGCACUGUGCUUGUUGAACGUGAUGGCAGUGUCUUACUGACUAUUUCGCCCAGUCCAACUAGAUCUCGAUGAAUUCAUUGAAGUGGUCAUCAAACAUAAUGAAAGGUUUUUGUUUUUUAGGACCACUUACUUGUGGUGUGGUAUGGCCUUCAUCAUGAAUUCUUGAUGGGAGAAAACUCUACUGUACUACGUCGUUCGUCUUCUGGGCCUAUUCAGAGUGGUCCAAUAUAUCUGCCAUGGGCUUGUCCUUUUAUAAAUUUACCUUCUGGGCUUGUGCUAUUUUUCCCUACUGACCCAAUGUCAACUUUUUAUGAACUUAUUCUGAGUCUUAACUUCCUGUUAUUUGAACAGUAGUAAGCAUUCUAGUUUUGUUAUGUCAAUAUUAUGUCUGUUAUUUUCAAGAUUACUUUUAUCACCGUAUCAAUAAAAUCUUCCGCAGAUAAUUGCUGUAAGUUAGGUCUUGCCAUUUAGAAGGAUGCUAACAUUUUGAAGUUUUAGUUGGAUUGCAUCAUCAGAGGUCCACAUUCCGAGCACACAUAGACAGUGGCACUGUGUCUAACAUCCCAAAUGCCUUGUUCGGAGCAUUUGUUACAGCAACUGAAUUGGUCAUUGGACUGGAAAGCAUCUGGUUUAGAAUUUAGCGUUAACAAGUCUGGUUCUCCGCCUUUCCUACCAUCGCAAACAAAACCAUUUUUGGCGCACAUAUUAGGUUUAGCCCAAACUCACAUGAAACAAGAUAUCACUUAUCUAAUGUAACCCAUCUAACUGGCAAGCUUAAUCUCACACAUUCAGACCGAUGUCAUAGAUUAGCUCUUUAAACUCUUUUAACUUUUAUUCCAUCUGGAAAUAUAUAUCUUUAUAUGUGAAAAUCUUAGCAAUUUUGCUUUCCCCUGUCAUCCUUACUUAUUUUCCCUAGUUCUAUUGACUUGUUUGCUUCCCUCCAGGUGGUGGGCCUCUGCUUGGUUGGUGAUCAGAUUCAAGGCCGCUGUAUGCGUUCCCCCACCCCCAUGUGAGAAAGUAAGGUAGUACGUACCUUAUAAAUUAUUCUCUGCAUCUCUCUUUGACUUGCUGCUUUUUCUUUGUUUUCUUGUCCUCUCACUUUUUCUAUGGUUGUUUAACAAAAUAUAUUUACAUUAAUCACUGGUAUCUUUAAUGUGUCAUAUGUACAAGUUUUUUUUGAUCAUUUGAUUUACAUAUCAGCCCUUUAAUCCUCCUUAGCUCUCCUUUUGUAGAUUGAAUAUAAAAUAGUAAAAUUUUAUUCUCUAAUUUUUUUAAAAAAAUCUUAUAUUAGAAUGUUAAGUUUUGAGUUUAAAUCCACCAUUGAAUUUCGUAAGGUAUUUAAUGAGGUAUCUUAGCUUAAAUCGAAGUAGUCUAAUAAAAGUAUUUAUCCUUCGGACUUGCUAAAUCCACUAGUGAUAACAUUGAUGCAUCUGCUUGUAUAGUUUUCUCAAGAAAGUAUAGAUCUCAGAUGAUGCAAUUAUAAGUUUCUACCUCUUUCUAUUCUCUUUUUCCUCUACUUUUUCCUCCAAGACCGUGAUCUGUGAACAGCGAUCAAAUUUAUAUCUAUAUCUGCUGCUAGUAAACUAUUAUCUGUUAACAAACAAUUCCACCUUUAGGUUUAAGGAGGCAUUACAAAAUUUUUUUUGUCUUUCCUUUUUCCUGCAAAUCUCUUUUUCCUGUAUUUUUCUACCAAGACCAUGAUCUGUAUAUCGUAGAAAAGAAGUGAAGCUAACAUCCAUUAAGGCCAGUUUCUCUCUGUCAAUAUGACAGAUAAAGAGAUAGAUGGAAAGAACAAGACCUCAUGGGCUAUCUUUUCUUUCUUUUCUUGCACAUCCUACCUUCUCCUAUUCUACCCACCUGUAUUCUUUCACCAAUAAAAGAGAUUUGUACCAGAUACCACCAUUUCACAGUUCUUCUCUCCGUGAUUGGGGCUCUGAAUCCUUCUGCAUGCUACUUGGCUAAUCUCAGUAGGAAGAUUGUGCUCAGAGGUUGAUCAAUGAGAAAAUAAAAUCAAUUAAAGAAGCAGGGGCAGAGAACCUCACUCAUGAUUCCUUAGUACCUUUUCUCGCAGCCUCUUUCCCUCUCUACCACAGUAAAAAGAGAAAUUAUUCCAUGUACCACACUCUAUGGACCAUGGUCUUAAAAACUCUCUAGUCUGGCUCAGAUGACAAGAGAUUGUAAAUUAAAAUACAAGUACAGUACUACAUGAAAAGAGUAAUAAAUGAUGACAAGAAUAAAUAAAAUAAUUAAUAGGUGAAAAUUGAGCCUUCAAUAUUUAAGUUGUUAAACUACGCUUUAUAUCAGCGGCACUUCAAAUUCAAAACCGAUGACAAUAAAAUUUAAAUAUAAGUCAUUAGAUGCAAUUUACAAUCUUUAAAUACCUUAUGUAUAACAUAUCACAGUUUUUGAUCUAGUUGUUUAGAGAGCUGUAAAUAGUUUUCCUUUUUUUUUUUGUGGAAGUUAGUAAAUUAUCUGUUUUAUUUAUUUUUUAUAAAAAUAAAUUCAGUUAAAAAUGCGUAAUAAUUAAAUUUUGAACUUUAAGAUCUCGGUUACUGAUCAUCAAAUAUACUUUGCUGACAAUGCAAGGUAAUUUAGAAUCUUGGAUUUGAGUUAUAAAUCUCUGGUCUAUGCCCCGUGGUCCAUGCAAUAAUUUGUCUGGUUAAAUGUUUCCGAUCCUUUUCUCUCGGGCACACAGCCUCUCUCUCCAGUCAUUCAUACGGUUGCAGUCAAAUCCAUUUCCCCAAACGAUAGUGAUUGUUGGGUAUUAAAUCCAUCCUUGUGAUUAAAUAACUCACACCCUAUCAAUAUCACUUUUGCCUCUCCUUUUCCACUUUCCCACUCCUCUAUCUCCUCCCUAGCGGCUUCGAGAGAGAGAGAGAGAGAGAGAAGCACACACACAGACUUUUUACAUGCAAAGAGAGCUAAUAGAAAUGGAACCUUGCCUCUUUUUUGAUGCUGUAGCAUCCCAUUUCUGCAUCUCCCCAUGUCUUGUUCCUUUCCACUGCUUCCUUUUUGCUCCAUUAUAGAGGUGAGACCACUCUCUUAUUUGUGCUGCCCACAAGCGUCCACUUUUAAGUUGAAGCUUUUCACUAACUUCUCUACUGCAACAAUCCUCCUUUUAUCCAACCUUUCCACUCUACUGGAACGAACGUAGGAUCUAAAACUCUCUCUCUCUCUCUCUCUCUCUCUCUCUCUCUCUAUUGUGGGCAAAUGACAUGAGCUCACUGAGCCAUGUGCUUCUCCUUGCUACCACCCUCAUCUUAAUGCUCUUCAGUGCUCCCCACGGAGCACGUUGUACCAAUAGAUCUCCAAUCUCGUCUCCUCAGGUACUUAUCCAGAUCCUAAAAAGCAAUUAUUAUUCUCGAGAGUUUGUUUGAAUGUAUGAUUAUUUUAUCACCAUAUCUAUUUUAUUUACCGAAAAAAUUUCUAGAGCUUGGCAGAAAAAGUAUAUGAGCAGUUUUUUUUGGGUAGGCAUACUCUACAUAUUAGGUCCCCAAGCUGAAAUAUAGAGCAAAACUCAAACUUCAACCUCAUAAUUACAAUAAUUUUCUUAAAAAAAGUUUCUCAGAGGACCAUAACUUGUUCCGACGUUCAAAACAGUAUCUCAAUUUUACUUUUUUUUUUUUGACCUAGUCUCCGUGAGUAUGAUGAUUUCUCUAAUCUACAUAGGCAAUGUUAAUGGAGGAGAAGAUCCGGUUGGGGUCGACGCCGCCCAGCUGCCACAACCGGUGCAACACCUGCAACCCCUGCACAGCCGUCCAAGUGCCCACCCUCCCCGCCCGCGCCGCGCGCCUACGACCGUCCGAAUCCGACGGCGGCGGCGGAGAGCUCUCCUUCAACGAGUACGCCAAUUACAAGCCGCUGGGUUGGAAAUGCAGGUGCCGCGACCACCUCUACGACCCGUAAUUAGCUUAGCUGUGGGAGAGCAGUUAAAAUGGUCCUCCUUUUCGUUUCCUUCUUUUGUUUUAUUGUUUUGAGUGGUAAUUUCGCCAUUUUCCAGAUCUGGGCCCUCGGCGCAGGUUCCCUGGGAUUCUUUUGGAUGCACGCAGUGAAGAGCACUGCUGUUCAUAUUUUUAAAAUCACACCUUUCAUUUGCCGUCGAUAUAGUGUGCGUACAGCAAGUCACGAGAAAUUCUUGCAUAUCCGCACGUCGAUCUUAAUGCAUCGCAUCUCUAAACUGUCAUACUAUGGAGGCGCCGAAAUUAUUAUACUUUAAUUUACUAUAUAUAUAUAUUUUGUCGCUGUAUAUAUAUAUAUAUAUAUAUAUAUAUAUAUAUAUAUAUAUAUAAAAGUAUUAAUUAAGUUUUGAGUAAUUAUAUUUUGUGUCUAGUUUUGUUGUAUUUUUCAAUAUUGUUGGUUAUUUUAAUUAUUCGAUAUUUAGAUACUAAUUUUUUAAAUUUGAAAUGUCUGUCGGUAAUGAUCGUGUCUCCGUGUCAAUUAUCAUGCGGGUACUGACGGCAAGGUCAGAUCUUUACAAGGGUAAAUGAUGUGGCCGGGAUUUCUGUCUACUGUCUACUUUCUACUGUCUACUGUUAGGACAUAUUUAUUUCAUAUUUAGAACAGAAAUAAAAAAUAAAAUUGAAUGGUUUUGAAAUAGAAUUGAAAUAGAAGAUAAAAUGAUGAAUCAUCUAAAAAUAUUUAGUUUAUUACUGGAAUAAAUGUCUAAAUGAAAAUUUAGAAUUUGUUAGAGGGUUUUUUAAUUAAAAGAGAGAAAAGUGAUGAGAAAGGAGAAUACCUCGUGAGAGAGAAUUUUGAAUAGUUUAUUUUGGAACGAGCCGGUUGAAAAUUCAAAGUCCGACUGGACCGUAAAUGAAUUUGAUCAUUCAUAUUUUCAAGUGGAAUGAAAGUCAACAUUUAAUUUUUUUAAAAUAAAAAUAAUUAUUAAAAUUAAUAAAUUAUAUUUAGAUUUUAUAGUCUAAAAUAGGUGAAUUAAAGAACUAGGCUGCUAUACUAUCGGUAGUACGGAACGCUUCGUGCUACCAAGUUGUUUUCGGUGAUGCAGCUUUCAAAUUGACGAUCGGCUCCGUUAGAUUUGAUCUACACUAUCGAAAGUAUUUAGAAACUAAAUUUCAUAAUUUUUUGAUAUCAUUUACCUAUCAAAUAAGUAGUUUAAAAUUGAACGGCUGAAAAUAAAAAUUUCAUGAAAAAUGAUGAUAAAAGAUUUAAAUUCAAGAUCAGAUAUACUGAUCUUACUCAAAAUAGUGAAAAGAAUUUUGUAUAAAAUUUUCAUCGUAUUUGGAUUGUUUUACACUGUUAAACUCACAAACAUACCACAUCGGUCAUUAAAAUUGUCAAUUUUAAGAUCUUUUAAUCACUAGUCAAAUAAUAUCGAAAAAAUUUAAAAUUUAAUUUUCAAAUACUUUCAAUAGUAUAGAUCAAGUCUAACGGAGCGGAUCGUCGAUUUAAAAGUCGCAUUAUCGAAAAUAACUUGAUAGCACGGAACACUACUCGCUACCGAUAGCAUAGUAGCCGAACUCGUGAAUUAAAUAUGGCCUUUGUUUUAAUAUCUCAUAUCAUCAUGUAUACUGUGUUGGAAAUAGAUUGGGGUGUGAGGGGGGUGAGGGGGGUGAUGGAUUUAGUUAUGUUAUCAUCCCGAGAUAGUAGAGGGCUUCCCCAUGUGUUCAUUGAAUGAGAGGUCUCUUUCGCUCUGGGCGCUCGUAGUGCCACCUAGUAGCCUACCUGAUGUCCCCUUUUUUCGUCCUUGUUUUCUUUUGGGAUUAAUUGCACCAUUCACCCUAUUCUUUAUGCGUCUCUUCAUUUUGGUCCUUAUUUAGUCCCUAUGUUUCAUUUUUAGUUUGAUGUUAAUCAUCCAAAUUUGCCUAAAUUUUAACAAAAUGGGCCACACCAACUUCAUUGAAUUCUUCUGUACUCAUGCAGAUCACUGGCAUAGUCCGAUAGUGUCCUGUCAAUUUUGGUACCGAUUUUUUUAAUUUUUAAGAAAAAAUUGAUAGUACAUUUGGUUCGAUGCAAAGAAUGCCAAAUGCUUCGGAACAUAUCAUAGACAUCAUAUGCAGGUCAUGUGGUUAUAGACAUAGCGGACGAUGUUGAGGAUAGUAAAACUGAGUUUGACGUGAUCUGUUUGCAAAUAGGAAAAGAGGUUAUUGACCAAAAUUUUUUUAAAAAAAUUUAGUUUAGAGACUCAUGAUGUAAUUAAUUCUAAAAGCUAAGAAAUUAACUGUAGAAAAUAAAAGGUUCAGCAUCAAUGGAAAAAAAUUUGGUAAACUUUGGGGACUAAUGAAAAACCCUUUUUUAUUUCUUUUGGGUUUGGAAGAAACCCUAGGGAGCCUGACAUAUAUAUAUAUAUAUAUAUAUUCCUGUGGGAACAUCGAUUACUUAGCCUGUUAGCCUGGAUUCCUAUCUUGGACUGGUGCGGAGUAACCAGAAAAAAAAAUUGUGGUAAAAAAAAUAUUUUAUUUAUUUUUAUAAGAAUUAACGCAUGGCAUAGAUUGCAGUAGUUCGAUUUAGUUGUAUUUUUUGUGGCUCUUUUUUAAGUCUGAUAGCGUCAGAAUGCUCUCAAUACUAGACGAGCCUUCAAGGCACCUAAAAAUCUCUUGUAUUUCUAAUCUAAAUUUAAAAUUCAAAUUAAAAUCACACAAUUGAAUUCGCUAUUUAAAUCCAAUCUCACAUAAUCCCAACCUCUUAGUCGACGUUCCUGACUACAUCAAACAUAGAGACAAACAGUGGACCGAAUUAGAUUGAGCUCAAUCUCUUUUAAUCCCUUACUCCAAACAUGCUCUAAUAAAGGGAUUGUGAGGUUUAUUAAAUUUCGUGCGUGAUUGGGCUUUUAUUAUGUGGGCCAAACUUCAUACCUUACCCACCUUGUACGUUGGGCUUGAAUCACAAAAUUUUUACGUAGCUGCUUAGGCUUCGUGCAUUACCUAGGAUGUCAUGUCAUGUAGAUUGUAGUUUUUUAGUUUUUUAUUAAAUUUUUUAAUACAUAUUUUAACCUUUUUCUUAAUCUAAUAGUUUUUCAUGACCAUUGAUACCAAACAGACUCUUAGUUUAAUAGUUUAUUGAAGGACACAUAGUGUCUUAUAACUAUGAAUAGAAUGAGAAAUAAUACUAUUUGUACAUCUAAAAAUAAAUUAUAAAUUUUAUACCCACUUAUUCGAGAACUUAGACACUGUUUUAGAAAUUUUUAAUAUGAUAUAUUGGCCUUUGAAAAGCUCUUCUUUUAAUUCCUGGUCGAUCUAAACUGAUGACUAAGGCAUGCGAAGCCUAAUUUAAUCCAACACAAGAUCGUACUUUUUCCUUCUCUACUGUAUUAACCCAAAAGCAUGCAUGGCCAAAAAUGUUCUUUGUAUGUUAUAGUGAUUUUCUUUUUCUGAUGACACAUUUACGGAAGUGCGACCAUAUUAUAGUGGUGAUUUGCUAAGUUGGCAAUCCCAGGUAGUAAUUUUGUAAAUUAGAUCUAUAUCUAAGUAAAGCACCCAAAAAAUGAAUUUUUCUUGCAUUAGUUAGAUUGCAAAAAGAUUUUAAAGAGUGGAAUAAUUAAUUAUUGCACCUAUUAGCAAUGUCUUUUUGUCUUUUUCUUUAAACUAUUCAUAAGGGAUAUUACUAUAGGAUGUAUUCAAUUAAUGAUGGACAAUUAUUAGAUCUUAGUGAGGUUUGCGGAUCCUAAGACAAACUACAUAUGUAUAAUCAUUUUUACUAGAAAAAUGCUAAAGUAUAUACAUCUUACAUCCAAGAAUUUAAAGAUUGGUAAACUCCUUUGAAUUUUAGUAAAAAUGGAGAGAAAUCGCGGCCGAUUGAGGUGGGAAUCGCGGCCGAUCGAAGGGGCGGCUGAGGAAGAUGAGUAAGAAGACGAAAAUGGCGAGGGGCAAAAUGGUCAUUUUACACACUGUAACUCCCCUGUGAACAUUUUUCAUUUUUCAUUUUUCAUUUUACAAGGGGGCAAAGUGUAGGUUUUUAAAUAUCAUGGGGGGAAAGUGAAAAAGCGGGUUAUUACAAGGGGCUUUUUUGUAAUUUAGCCAAAUAAUUAUAUGAAAUAUAGUAUUAUAAUAUGAAAAAAAAAUAAUUUAUGAGUUGAAUAUCUAAUUUUUUCAGUCUCACAUGUCUUUUCUUCCGCCUUCAAUCUCUAUAUUAUUCAUUUUCAUUUAUGCAGUCAAAAAUAAAUAAAUUAUAUAGAUAAAUAUUGUAUUAAACUAUCCAAUCAUAUAUAACUAAAAUUAAAAUUUUAUAUGAAUAAUAAUUUUUUACUUUAAAAUAUUCUGUAUAUUUUCAUCAAAGUCAUGACAAUUCAAUAGGCAAGAUAGGCAACGGCGGUAUAUGAUAUUACUUGCUAACUUAGAGGGCUUCCCGCUUGGCCACUUAGGGUGAGAGACAGAAAAAAGAAAGAGAGAAAUAUAUUGAAAUUUAGAGUUCGAAGAAAGAAAGAACGAAAGAAAUGAAAAAUAUUAAAUUUAGUAAAAUUUUGCUCUUUUAUUUGUCUAUUGGUGUUUGUUUUUAUGGCCAACAACAUCAGCCCAAUUUUAACUAAACUCAGAUUAUUCACUUCAGCCUAUAUAUAAUUAAAAAUAUAUAUAUAUAUAUAUAUUAUAUAUAUAUAUUAUAUAUAUAUAUAUAAUAUAUAUAUAUAUAUUAAAAGCAUAUAUUUCAAAUUUCGGUCUAUCGACAGACCCAUUUUUGGUGGGAAAAAAAAUUGAUUUCGCUUUUUUCCUUACGUAAAAUAAAUAAUAGAAUUAAACAAACUGUUAUUUCCCUCUUAUUUUUACAACAGAAAAAAAUUUAUUUUUCCAAAUUUUUUGCCAAUCGAAGAAUAUCUAUUGUGAAUUUUUAUUUAAUUCUUCUUAUCUCUAUAUGUAAUAUAAUAUUUAUAUACUAUCUAUCUAUAUCUAUAUAUCUAUACUAUUUAAACAUAAAUUAAAAUAAUUGCUACGUGCAUUUGCACGUACGCUCAACUAGUAUAUAUUUAUAUAUAUAUAUAAUAUAUAUAUAUUAUAUAUAAUAUAUUAUAUAUAUGAGUCACUACUAUGCUAUCGAUAGUACGGACGCUCGUGCUACAAGUGUUUUGAUGAUGCGGCUUCCAAAUCGACGAUACGGCUCCGUUAGACUUGAUCUACACUCGUUGAAAAGUUUGAAAACUAAUUUUAAAUUUUUUUUCGACAUCAAUUGACAGUGAUCAAAAGAUUCAAAAUUGACAAUUUUAAUGGCCGAUGUGUGUGUUGUGAGUUUAACGGUUAAACAAUUCAAAUGCGAUAAAAAUUUUAUUAGAAAAAUUCUUUUCACUAUUUAGAGUAAGAUCAGUAUAUCUGAUCUUGAAUUUAAAUAUUUUGUCAUCAUUUUUUAUGAGAUUUUAUUUUCAGCCGUUCAAUUUUAGACUACUUGUUUGAUAGGUAAAUGAUAUCGAAAAAUUAUGAAUUAGUUCUAAAUACUUUCAUAGUGUAGAUCAACCUCUAACAGAGCCGAUCGUCGAUUUGAAGCCGCAUCAUUGAAAACAACUUGGUAGCACGGAGGCGCCCGUGCUACCGAUAGUAUAGUAGCCUAGCUCUAUAUAUAUAUAUAUAUAUAUAUAUAAUAAGUGUAGAACUGCUAUGCUAUCGAAUAAUAGAGGAUUUGAUAUUUUUUGAAUUUUUGACCCUUUGAUUAAAAAUGUAUGGUUGGGAUGAUUGCGGUCUCCCUAGGAUUUAAAUAAUACUUUUAGGAUUGAGUGGUCCCUACAAGGUAAAAAUAAUAUUAAUCAAAGAUAAGACGAUUUAAGGAUUGAUCUAAGAUAUCAAAAAAUCGAAACACCGAAAUAAUAAUUUUUUACUUAAAAAUAUUCUGUAAAUAUUUUAUCUCUAAGCCAUCAUUCAAAUAGCAAGAGUAGGCAACGGCGGGUAAAAAUAUGAAAUAUUAUUGCUAUGACUAGAGGGCUCGCUUGGCCCACUUAGGAGUGAUGAGACGAGGAAAUCAAAGAUAGAGGAAUAGUAAAUUGCAAAUUUUAAAGAGUUCGAAAAGAAAGAAGAAAACGAAAAAAUGAAAAAAUCAUAAUUUUAGUAAUAAAUUUUGCCUCUUUUUAAUUUGUCUAAUUGGGUUUUGUUUUUUAUGGGCCAACAAACAUUAGAAAUUUUAAACUAAAACUCAAAAUUUAUUCACUCGCCUACUUAAUAAAUAUAUAAAUAUUAUUAUCAUAUAUUAAUAUAUAUUUAAUAUAUAUAAUAUAGUAUAUAUAUUAAAAGCAUUUUUAAAUUUCGUCUAAUAAUCGACUCAAGCGCAGUUUUUUGGUGGAUCAAAAAAAUUGAAAUUUUGCUUUCCUUAGUAAAAUUAAAAAUAAAUAGAAUUAAAACAAACUGUUAAUAUCUCUUUUAUUUUUAAAACAGAAGAAAUAACAUUUAUGUUUUUAUCAAUUGUUUUGCCCAAUGAGAGAAUAUUUAUUGUGAAUUUUUAUUUAAAUAUUCUUCUUUAUCUGGUAUAAUGUAAUAAGAUAAUAUUUUAUAUAAACUAACAUAUAUCUUAUUAAUUUAUAUAUACUAUUUUAAAAUAUUAAAAAUAAUUGCUACCGUUGGCAAAUUGCAACGUAACGUCAGCUAAGUAUAAUAAUAUAUUAUAUAAAUAUAUAUAAUAUAAUAAUAUAUAUAUUAGAAGGGUCCAGCUUACUUAAUGCUCUCCGAUAGUGAGCGGAAGCGGCUCGGUGGCUACCAGUUUUUGGUGUUUCGAUGAUGAUGGCGGCGUUCCAAAAUGAAAGACCGCUCGUUUAAGACUUGGAAUUACACUUGUUGAAAAGUAUUUGAAACUAAUUUUUUUAAAUUUUUUUCGUAAUCAAUUUUUGAAACUAGUGAAUUCAAAAAAUCUCAAAAAAUGAAAUUUUAAUGGCCGAUGUGGUGUGGUUUGUUGGAGUUCACGGUGUAAUAAACAAUUUCAAAUGGAUGAAAAUUUUAUAGAAAUCUGUUCACUAUUAGAGUAAAGAAUCAGUAUAUCUGAGGCCUUAGAAUUUAAAUAGUGUUUUGUCAUCAAUUUUUUAUAGAUUUUUAUUUUUUUUCAACAGCCGUUUCAAAUUUUUUAAGACUUAAUUGUUUUGAUAGGUCUAAAAUGGAAUAUGAAAAAUUAAUGAAAUUAUAGUUCUAAAUAACUUUCAAUAGUGGUAGAUCAACUCUAACAAAAAGCACGAUCGUCGAUUUGGAAGCGGCAUACAUUGAUAAAAUACGACUUGGUAGCAGCGGAGCGCCCCCGUGCUACGAUAGUGAAAAAUACGUAAGAACUAGUCUAUAUAUAUUAAUAUAUAUUAAUAUAGUAGUGGUAAAGAACUUGGCUAUGCUAUCGGAAAAUAUAAGAAAAUUUGAUAUUUUUUGAAAAUGUUUUAUGAACGGUUGAAUAAAAAAUAUUGUAUGGUUUUUGGGAAUGCUUGCGGUCUCCCCUGGAAUUAGAAAUAAAUACUUUUGGCAUUGAGUGUCCUACAAGUAAAAAAUACGAUUAGAUCCAAAGAUAAGAAAAGAGUUUUAUAAAGGGAUUGUCUAGAAAUCAAGAAAAAUCGAAAAGCACCAGAUACUCUACCUUAGAUAGCAUAGUAGCUCUACUAUAUAUAUAUAUAUAUAUAUAUAUAUAUUCGAGCUUUUCAAGCUUUUCGAGCCUAAUUCGAACGAGCCAAGUAAGACUCAAGCUCGGCUUGAAAUGAAUUUCGAGCCUUUUUUUUUGCUCAAGCUCGGCUCAUUUAAACGCGAGUCGAACGCGAGCUGGCUCGCUCAUUUGCCAUCCCUAAAUGUGAUGGUGGGCAUUUUUGAUAUAUUUUAUUAAUUUAUAGUGGCAAAAGUAAUAUUGAUAAUUUUGAAAGAGCAUCUAUGAUAUUUUAAUUAUAACUUUUGACGAGUACAUAUUUGAAAUUGCUUUAAUUUUUUACACUACAAUAAAAUUAGGUUAUAGGAAUACAUUUUUGGGACACUUUUAUAUAAGUGUCCCAUUUGUGCCAAAAUUUUUUUAAGGCUAAAUUACAAAAACCCUCCUGUAAUAACCUGCUUUUUCACUUUCCCCCCUAAGAUUUAAAAACCUAUACUUUGCUCUCUUGUAAAAUGAAAAAUAUUCACAGGGGGGUUACGGUGUGUAAAAUGACCAUUUUGCCCAUCGCCAUUUUCGUCUUCUUCCUCAUCUUCCUCAGCCAUCCCUUCGAUCGGCUGCGAUUCUCACCUCAAUCGGCCGCGAUUUCUCUUCAUUUCCUUCUCCACCUGCUCCCCUUCUCCUCCUACACCCUCGCCGCCCCUCGAUUUCGACGAUAAUAGGGAGGAAAUCGAGGUGGGUGUUGAUGGAGAGGUAGGCAAGGACAACGAGGGCGAAGGCGAGGCGGCGGAGGAGGGCGAAGGGGAUCUGGGCGAGGGAGAGGUACUGGAGGACGGCGAGGCGGCGGCGAGGCGGUGAGCCGGAAGGAGGCGAAGCAAUAAGGAAGAGGGCGGAGGGGUAUUUUCGGCAUAAAAAAAUAUUUUAUAACGGAACCCUAACGGUAAGGGGUGAAGUGCACAUUUUUUAUUUUAUAAGGGGGCAAAGUGUAGGUUUUUAAAUGUCAGGAGGGAAAGUGGAAAAGCGGGUUAUUACAGGGGGAUUUUCUGUAAUUUAGCCUUUUUUAAAAAAUCUAUUAAGGUCUAAAUAUAAAGCCCAAUCCAAUUAAAAAUAAAAAGUUUCUCUACUCAACCAAUCACAGCCAGCCUACUCGGUCCGAUUACAAAUAAAAAAAAGGAAGAAAAAAAAAAGAAAAAUUGAUCACCAUCUCUCCUUCUCCUUCUCUGUCGCCGCAGCUAACGAGGUAGUGUUCCGGCGGCUGGAAUUCAGCCGCGAGGAUCUCGCAAGGACCGUAGAGGGCUACGAUCGCCACGUAUCCCUCGCCACAGGUCGCUGGAGUAGUGGGUACCAAAUAUCAAGGCGACCCUACCUAUAGCGACUCCACAUAUAGCAAUACUUUUAAAAAGUGUCGGUAAUUUAGUCAGCGGCACUUUUUUUGACGUGUACCGAUAUUUAAAAGUAUCACUAUACAUAAUUUUUAUUGUAGUGUUAGCAUGAAGCUUUUAUCACUGUUUUCACAGUUAGUAGUCUAGGAGAUUUUUUUUUCUUUGAGAAACAAAUAGUAUAUUAUCUGCUUCAAUCAUAAAAAAAUGAUUUAGUUUACGAGCGUGAGAUAACCGGGCCUCGAAAAGAAAAUAAAAUAACUAAAAUAAAAUAAAAUAAAAUAAAGAUUAAGAUGGUUGGUUAGCCUUCCCUAGACUACCAGUAGUUUAGAAGACUAGUACAUUUAUCACUGACGCUUUCAUUGAACAGUUCCAUUCAGCAUCUGUCCAAAAAUGAAAAAUCAGAUCUAAUCAAACAUCCCCAAGAACAUGGCAACUUUGUUAGGGAGAAUUUAAUACGGGUACCACUGUAGCUUUCUUUAACCAGCUCAACUCAGCAUUUGUCCAAAAAUCGCAUCUAAUCAACAUUCCCGAGGAAUUGGGCAAGUCCACACUUAUUUACUCGAUCAUGUAAUAUUUAUCUAUGAUUUAGACAUGGUAUAAAAUAUCAAUGUAUUGAAGUUGACAUCUAACAAUAAUAAUAAAUAAUAAUAGUAAUAAUCCUUUUUUAUGUAUAUAUACUUCGUAUAGGAUGUUGAUGUUUGCAUUAAAAUGCGUAUCAAAGUAUCCUUUGUGCAAGGGGUUCGGAAUAUCAUUAUCAAAAACGACAGAGCAACUGCUGAUGUAAUUCAAUUCAAACUUCUUCGGGGGCUACGUCCAGGUGAAAAUUUUUAUUUUAAUGAUUAUUUUUUUUAGCUCGUUUUUUCCUUUGUUUGCUCACGCGCUUCCGACCUUGAUUUUUCUAUUUUGGUUAUGUAGGUGUUGAAUAUAUAAAUUAAAAUCAUCAUUUUUUGACAGUUUGAAUUUUGAGAAAAAAAUAAAUUUUUAUACAAUUUCAUAUGGUAUAAAACUAAAAAAAUUCUUUGUUCGAAUUUUGUCAAACUGUUAACAUUAUUUAGUUUCUUCCUAUUUAAUUCAGGUCCAUAUUUUGGACUUGUUAAAAGUUUCGAGUACAAAUAUAAUGAGAGAAAGUAUUGAAAAUAUAAAUUAGGAAUAUCAUUCUUUAAUACUUUUAAAAGCCGUCUCAUAUAUUUAAUAAUAAAUUUGGAGAAUUUUUUUUGUGUCUUUUUUUAUUUAUUUAGGUUUAGGGACUUUUCUUGUUAUCUUCCUCGAUUUGUUUUGUUUGGGAGAUUUUGGGAGAUUGUUUCGUUGUUGAUGUCCUCAGCAUUUUGAGGCGGUGCUUUAUGUUCCUCCAAAAUUAUGUCGAAGUAAUCAAACUCCGAUAUUUAUUUCCCCUAGAGAAAGGUCGUCAACAUAAACAGCUAGAUAAAAUGCCUUUUGUCCACAACCGUUGUUAAAAGUUCACAGGUUAACUAUAAUAGUUAUUUUCGAUAGUGGAACAUUCGAUUCGGCGGUCGAAUUUACUUACCGUAAUUAACAGUAUUAAAAUUAUCUAAAAAUUAAAAUUUAUAAUUUUUUUUAACUUUAUGUUUCUUCAAAUUUAUAUGUUGGCGGCUUAAAAGAGCCAGUAUUUUGUCCUACGACGGAAAGCUAGAUAGGCUAGGUCUAAUCUCAUUCGAAAUGGCAGGAGGUUGCGUUGGAGCGAGUUAUGUUCGAAAUGGCAGGAUGCUGAUUGGGUCAAAUUACAAUUGAAACUCGUAUGCGCUGUAUUUAUAUGUUUUGAGUAAAUUGAUUGUAUUUUUCUAAUAGUUCGAGCUUUGGGAAUUAACAUAUAGCAUUAGACUACAAUACUUUCGAAAGUACGUAGACAUAUAUAUUUAUAAGUUAUUUUGGAUAAUUGGACAUUCGAUUCGAUGAUCGGUUUUAUUAGAUAAAAUCUGCAAUGUUAAAACUAUCGAAAAGCUAAAUUUUAUAAUUUUUAACUUUAUUUGACUAGUAAACGUAUAGACUUAAGCUACUAGAUUGAACGAGAAUUACUAAAUAUGUCGUAUUCAUAAACACGUGUGGAUCGAUCUGAAUUGAGUCGAAACUCUACUGAUGCGCACCUAUUAAUUGAACGGCAAAAGACUCGGCCCAAAUUUUUUAUCUGUAAAAAUAAAAUAAAAUAAAAUAAGGAAAACAAAAAAUUCUUUGAUACUGCUGAUAACAACCGCGAACGAUAGGAACUGGGGAUUGACUAAAGAUGGGGGAACUCGAGAUUUUCUUUUUCUUUCUUGGGUCGAGCUUAGCCGGACCACAACCGAAGUAGAUGCAGUGACGAUGAUGCUUUUUUCGUUUUUUUAAUUGAGAUAAAACGAUGCAAAUUGACAUAGCACCACUGCAAUUACUCUGGGCUAUUUAUUAUUAUGCUAAAAUAGGUUUAACAUUCUGUUCCGUAAUAAUAGAUUUAGAAGAUUAAUAAGUUAAGUUGGGUGAGCCUAAUAAAUUGAGCGGAGGUGCGGUCUACAAAAGAUCUAAUGGCAAUAGACUCAACAAUAGAUCUAACGUUCGGAUGAAUUAAGUCAAGUUGAAGCUCGCGAGCGCUGUGGCUGAGCCCUUAAGUGCGAUGGAUGCGCCUUUCCUAUCAGCAUGUGCUUUUAGAAUAGUUGGUUAGUAUUUACGAUAUGACAAGUGGUAUAAGAGCUAGUGGCGCGGGUUCGAUUCCCACAUGCUGUAUUAACGAUGCAUAUGACUAAUAAGUUGAAUUGGGUAAGCCUAAUAAGUUGAGUGAUGUACAAUCCAUAGGAGACCUAACAGCUAGAGGCUCAACAAUAGACCCAACGCUCGGAUGGGUUGAAUCAGGUUGAAAUCCGCGAGCGUUAUAGCUGAACCCUUAAGUGUAACCCUUAAGUGCAACGAGUACGUCCUAGAACGUAUUUUUAGAAUAGUUGGUUAGCAAUCUACAGUUACCACUCGGAUAAAACUCGAACGAAAGUUGAUCGGAAAAAAUGGGGUACGGCUUCAACAAUGUGCGUUUCAUAUUUUUAAUUAGGAAAAAAAAUAAUUUUUUGAACAAUUACUUUUUUUUGUUUAAAGUAGGGUAUUUUUGGUAAAUUCCGCGUGAUGCCAAAUUAAAAAGAUAAAAUCAAAACAGGUCGAAGCUAGUUUCCUGUUUCCCUGCGUAGCACUGAAACCCAGAUGUUUCAUUUUAACUCUAAUUUAGAAUUUUUAAUGGUUUAUAUUAUUAUUUGCAUAUAGAGCUUUUUGUUUUGUCAGAAUUGGCUUUAAAUAAAAAUGAAUACUACCAAUAAAAAUGGACUUAAACUUACCAAAUUAUAUGCAUGUAUUGCGUCCUCGUCUCACUUGGACUACGUUUGUGGAAUAGAAGGUGUAUGCGCAAGAAUAAUUCCGUCACUUAACAUGAAUUUUGUCAUAUUUGAUUAUAUCUAAUGUUUGUUAUAUACAUUUCUCAUCCAAAAUUUAUUUUUAAAAAGCUUUACAUCCGAAAUUCCUAACAUCUGCUAUUAGUAAUGCAUAUCAUUGGACAGUUAUUUGUUGACGAUCUUCUAUUUAACUCCAUUUUCCUUCUAAUCAAUGGAUUUUGGAUCGUUUCAUCGUAUUAAAUUAGUAUGUGAUAAUUUUUACACCACAAAUGUUUAAACCAUCAUUGUAGAUAUUGUAUUAAAAGUUUUAUUUGUGUAAUUCUUUAAAUAUUAUCCUUGUAUAUUAUUAAAGUGUUAAUAUUUUUUGAGAAAUAAUUAAAGUGUUAAUAUAGGAAUUAAUACUUUGCAUUAUUAAUACAAGCACUCUAAACGUUAUGUAUGGUAAGCAUUUCACUUCUUGUAUUAGCCGCAUUCAGAUGAGAAUUAAGAGACUUUGAUGGAAAUUAAAGAAUAUCCAUACUAAAACAAUACUUAAUAAAAAUCAGGUAAGAUCAUAAAGUACCGUAACUCCAAAAGUGAAAAGUUAACCAAGACCCAUAAAUUUUUUUUCACCACAUAUCCAUUUAUUUAAUUUAUUCCCAAAAUUAUAGCUAUCACCAACUUAGUUCCACUUAAUUACUUCGUCUAUCGAUAAUUUGUAAAUAAAGAAAUACCGAGUUAUAAUUCUACAACUAUCCAAAACUCGUUUUCUUUAUAAUACUUUAUUUUAUCCUAGAUUUAGCAUUUCUUUUUCUUUAUCUUUUAAACUACGAUACGGAGCAUACAUGCACCGUUCAAAACAUACAUAUCUAGACAACAUCUUUUUUUGGAAGCAGCACUUGGUGAACCAACUUGUUGAAAUUUACGAAAGAGGGACCACCCUCCUGCGUCGCCUUCACCGCGAUCUCCUUCCACUCCAUGGCCCUCCUCUUCAUCUCCUUCCCCUUCUCACCUCCCAUGAUCUCUCUUAUCAACCCCUCCACCUCCUUCCGCUUCACGUCGUUGUCGAUCUCCAUCCCUAUACCCCACUCCGUGCUCACGUAUCUGCCGAACAUAAAUGAUUAAUUAAAAUCAAUUGAAGUUGGUUUUUUUACCAGUGAUUUAAGGUUUUAGAGUAAAACGGUUAUUUUGUAGUACCUGCAGUUGGUUUGCUGCUCUGCAAAGAAGGGCCAGCUCAGCAUCGGCACCCCACCGCACACGCUCUCCAGCGUGGAGUUCCACCCGCUGUGUGUGAGGAACGCGCCCACCGCGGGGUGGCGAAGCACUUCCUCCUGCGGGCACCAGCUCGCCAUGAGCCCCCUCUCCCUCGUCCCCGCUACAAACUCCGGCGGGAGCAGCGCGGCGUCGCCCUUAACAACGUCGGGCCUGAUGAUCCACAGAAACUCGUGCUCGCUAUUCGCGAGCCCCCACGCGAACUCUAUCAGUUGCUGGUUCGUCAUGACUGUUAUGCUACCGAAGUUCACGUAGACAACGGACCCCGGCCUUUUGUUUUCCAACCAUUUUAAGCAAGCGGACUCCUCCUUCCACAGGCUGGAGCCCACGGAGCUGAGUGGGCCAUGGGGGAUGUGGCGGGCGAGGAGGGGGAGGGGGCCGAUGGUGUACAUGGGUGGCAGGAUUGCCGCCAUGGCUUCGAGCACUGGGCGCUCGAAAUCGUCGAACGUGUUGAGGAGGACAGCGGACGCCAUGGCGGUGCGCUCUGCCUCGCGUAGGAGGAAGUUCGCCAUGAUGUCGUCGGCGUCCACCGUACGGAUGAAGCUGGGGAAGUCUCGUAGUCUCAUGUUCGUCGCUCCCGGUACCCCAUCGAUCGGUGUUUCGAGAUACCCAUCAGUUAGCUGACCUACAUCUGUUCACACAGAACCUGUCAAGAUCCAUUCAGGUAGCAGGAACAAACAUACUGAAAGCAGAAGCACAGUCAAACAGUUCUGAAAGCGUGCCGCACCUUUAAGCGGAAAGAUACCCUUCUCCAUGAGUUGCCUGUAGUGGCGAUAGCUGAUGUAGCCAAUGGCACUAGCAGUCCAAAAGAGGACGAUGGGGAUGCCGAGCUCCUUUGCGGCGUCCAGCGUGAAGCUCAUGACGGCAUCGGAGACGACGCAGGUUACCUUCGGGACGCCCGAUGACGGGUCGUUGAGCUCCGCGAGGAGUUUGCGGAAGUGGGGGAGGCAGUUGGUCAUGGUGGACCGGCAGAGGGAGGGGACGUCCUGCGUCUUAUCCUCAUCCGAGAAGGGGAGGCCGUCGGGUAUGGUGGCGAAUCGGAAGUCGGGGAGGCCAUCGAGAGCGGCCGGGCCCUGUGACCGGAGAAGGCGGCGGUGGUUGUACUCGGUGUUGACGAAGGUGAUGUGGAAUCCAUGGAGGGAGUGGAGGAGCUUAGCCACCUUCAACACGGGCGUCACGUGGCCCUGCGCGGGGUAGGGGAUGCACACUGCAUGGGGCUUAUGAUCAGAUCCCACAGAACCCAUCUCUCUAUCUCUAACCGGGAUAUUUUUUGGAGGGGGUUGCUUUGUGUGGCUUAGAAAUUAAGGAGCUUCUUGGCUCUAUAUAUAUAGGGGGUGGGAUGUUAUAUAUCUUUCGUCGUGUUGGAGCUCCAAUUACAUAUUGGCCCCACGAUUGCAAGUAAGUUUGCAAUUAAUAGUAGCUAAAUGCCCAAGGAGACUUCGAGGAACCGCUCUUAACUUUGUGGAGGGCCGGCAGGAUAGCCCAGUUGCAUGUGCAUAUAUAUGUCGUGUAUAACACUUAUAUUAUAUUAUUUAUUUUAAAUUAGUUAUAUUUUUUAUUUUUAUAUUAUUCUACAAUAAAAAUAUUUUUUAAAAAAUAAUAAUGACGCAUGAAAAUUUUACGAUUGAUUGGAGGCAUCACAUCAGCAAUUUAACUUCUAAAUUUUUUUUUGACUCAGAGUCGUAAAUUGUAAAUUGAAUGUACAUGUACCAUUCAUGUAGCUUUCAAAUUUAUAUUCUUUGCACAACUUGUAGAAGAUGAAACAAUCAUAAGUUGGGGGACUAAUUCUUGUCUAUGGGGCGAAAUAAUAGUAAAGUGAUUAGUCCCGUCAAUUAACUCACUUAUUCCAAAGAGUAUUGCGUGCACCGAUGAUCACCAUGUUAGCAGGCAACCAUUGUACUACUUCCACAUAAUAAAUACAGUUUAAUUAAAAUUUAGAAGUAAAUCCGGAUAGUUCAGAAAUGAUUCAAGAUAGAAUUUGAUAUAUAUAUAUACACGCAUAAUAGCCAACACUUAAUGAGGAGGGCUACUGUACUAUUAGGAGCACGACAGUACUUGUACUCUUAAGUUUCUGACCAUCGAUCAAUUUUGAUGGGUUGUUAGGAUAAUAGGAAAAGAGUAAUUUGAAAAAAAAUUCAAAAAGAAGAGAAAUUCAGAUGCCCAAUUUUUUUUAAUUUUUCUUCUCUUUCUCAUCCUAGCCAUCCUUUAAAAUUAAUAGAUGGGUAGAAAUAUAAGAGCACAAGAGCUAUUGUAUUCCUUAAUUGUGUUCUAAAAUUAUGCUUAGUUUGGGAACUAAACUCUAGUAAAUGACUUUUGUUAUUUAAGAAAAUAAAAAAUAUUUUUAUAAGAUGGAAGUUAUAAAUUUACAUUUGAAUGU